UGCCUGCUUCUCCCUAUGUCUAGCGCUGGGUCUGCCUUUAGAUUUCCAAAAUCUGAAAGAACUGAAGGGGAGAGCUCUGGAAAUGCUUCUGGAGCCACAGCAGCAGGUGGUUUGCAGAGAAGGAGGAGGAGAAGGAAGUGGUAUCAGACUCGGAGGUGUAAGAAGCAGCAGGUGCCGGAGGCAUCUCUUACUCUCAAGAAUAUGGUAUCAAGUUUUCGUGUUUCUGAACUACAAGUGUUGCUGGGGUUUGCUGGACGUAAUAAAAGUGGGCGGAAACAUGACCUUCUGAUGAGGGCACUGCACUUACUGAAGAGUGGCUGCAGCCCAGCAGUUCAGAUGAAGAUCAGAGAGCUCUACAGGUGUCGGUACCCAAGGGUCAUGGAAGGACUUUCAGACUUAUCAGCUAUAAAACCUGCGGUUUUCAAUUUAGACAGUAGUCCUUCUUCUGUUGAGCCUGACUUGGCAGGUGCUAGCGUUCACCCGCACCCUUCCAGUUCAGUCACGCCUCAGUCUUCUUCCUCACCUGUCAGUUCUGUGCUCCUCCAAAACAGUAAGUCUCACUUUGAGAUGCAGCAGCUGUCCCCUCCGAUUCCACCAGUUCAUCCUGAUGUUCAGCUGAAAAGCCUACCUUUUUAUGACGUGCUCGAUGUGCUCAUAAAACCUACAAGUCUAGUACACAGCAGUAUUCACAGGUUCCAAGAGAAGUUUUUUAUCUUUGCUUUAACACCUCAGCAGGUCAGAGAAAUCUGUAUUUCCAGGGACUUCUUGCCGGGGGGAAGGAGAGAUUACACAGUCCAAGUGCAGCUAAGAUUGUGCCUAGCAGAGACAAGCUGCCCUCAAGAAGAUAAUUACCCCAAUAGUCUGUGCAUUAAAGUAAAUGGGAAGCUGUUUCCAUUGCCGGGUUAUGCACCACCACCGAAAAAUGGAAUUGAACAGAAGAGGCCUGGGCGCCCCUUGAAUAUAACAUCUCUAGUUCGGUUGUCUUCAGCAGUGCCAAACCAGAUAUCCAUUUCCUGGGCUUCUGAGAUAGGAAAGAACUACUCGAUGUCUGUGUAUCUCGUCCGUCAGCUCACUUCAGCUAUGCUUUUGCAGAGGUUAAAGAUGAAAGGUAUCAGAAACCCCGAUCAUUCCAGAGCGCUGAUUAAAGAAAAACUAACUGCAGAUCCUGAUAGUGAGAUUGCCACAACCAGUCUGCGGGUCUCGCUGAUGUGUCCUCUGGGAAAAAUGAGACUGACAAUCCCUUGCCGGGCUGUUACUUGCACACACCUGCAAUGUUUUGAUGCUGCUCUUUAUCUUCAAAUGAAUGAGAAGAAGCCUACAUGGAUCUGCCCUGUCUGUGACAAAAAGGCAGCUUACGAGAGCCUAAUACUAGAUGGGCUCUUUAUGGAAAUUCUUAAUGAAUGCUCUGAUGUGGAUGAGAUCAAAUUCCAAGAAGAUGGCUCCUGGUGCCCCAUGAGGCCAAAGAAGGAAUCUGUGAAUGUCUCAAGUCCACAGUGCACCAAAAUAGAAAGUUCUAGUGUUGUUAGCAAACCCUGUUCUGUGACGGUGGCCAGUGAUGUGAACAAGAAGAAAAUUGAUGUUAUUGACUUGACAACAGAAAGCUCUUCCGAUGAAGACGAAGAUCCUGCUGUCAAAAAGAAGUGCAUAUAUAUGUCUGAAACAAAAGGAAGUCCAACCAAAGGGGUUCUCAUGUAUCAGCCAUCUGCUGUCAGAGUGCCCAGCGUGACAACGGUUGAUGCUGCUGCUAUUCCUCCGUCAUUAACAGACUACCCAGUACCAUUCCAUCAUCCACCAAUAUCCAGUAUUUCCUCAGACUUGGCAGACAUUCCCUAAAUGCCUAUGAUGUAUUCUUCAACACUGCUGCUAAAUAUCAGACAAAAGGUGGGGAUACUGAUUGUUUUCUAUCCUGGCUCCUUGAAAAGAACAUUGUAUGUAGGGACUCUGGGGUUCUCUUUGCCGGCUGUAAUGAACCCAGAGCCCAGGAAAUGGUGACUUGUGGUGGCAGGUGUAACGUUGGCUUCCUGUACUUACCUUUCCCCCUCCAUUGCCUGUCUCCAUUUCUCCAACAUCCCUGGGUUUUUUCCUCUUCUUUCAGCACCAGUUUGGCAAUGGGAUGGAUAUCAUUCCCCUUAUUUCUCUGUCCAUUUUGGUUCCCUUACUGCUCCCUCCCUCCACUUCUCCCUUCUUAAGAAAUCUGAUCCCAAAUUGGAUAGGAGAGUAAGGAAAGAGAAUACAAGACCAGAACUGUUGUCUGUAUCCAUCAACUGAAAUUCUAGCGCAUGCAAGAACAAAAGAAGCAGCCAGUUCUGUAAAAGCGUGUGAAGUAAAAAUCUCCUUCAAAACAUUUCUCUAAUGGAGAAAAGGAGGAGAGGUGCCAUGGCCAGAACAGAUUUAGAGGUGAGGGGAGAGGGAGGGAGGAAGUCUGCCAUUUCUUUCCGUUGACAUAGCAAACACAAGGCCAAUAUUUAGAAACGAAUCAAAAAGGCUGCAGUUUCUCAUUGGUUUUGUAAUUUAAACAUCUUGCCCUAAAUGCUUACGCACUACUGGUUUAUAAGACAGAUGAUAGCUGUCACUGCUCUUAGAGAAUAUACAUUGAACUACUUGUAGUCUCCUCUUCUUCGUUCCUUUUAUUUGUCUAGACAUAAAACGGGGAUGAUAUUAGAAAUGUUUCCUUAUUGGCUGCCCGUGGGUGGAGGAAGAGACCUGCUGCUUGUUUUUGGACUUGUGCAUGUUGUGACUUUACUUCAUUCCAGCAUCUUUAAUGUGAUGACAAUCUUCAUGUCCCAGUUUGGCCGAGUCAGGUACAAUACGCAGUGAAACUUGCAUUGUGAACAAACAGCUCCAAAUGGCAACCUCCAUCUAAGCAACCACAUUGAACCACCCUGCAAAACCCAGUGAAUAAUACAUCAUUAUGUCAUCCUCAUUCCUAAAAAGAGCCACUUGUACGAGAUAACUCGUUUUGCCGCUGCCUGAAGUAGUCGUUGAGAGUGGUGUCACAGUGAUAUAUUCCAUCUAGAAACCGUGUAAAAAUUGCAAAAUCUGUUCUAUGGCCACAAAAAAAAAAAAUUCCUUAAAUUUUGUUGUGUGUCAAUCAAAGAAAGAUUCCUCAAUUUAUUAAUUCUUCUCUUCUUCCUAGGUUUGGACUUUCUUCCGCUAAUCCCAGUUGAUUCACAGCAGUACUGUCCUCCUAUGUUUUUGGAUAGUCUCACCUCAACCUUAACAAGCAACACACCUGGCAGCAUCAUCACAUCAACCAGUCGCCACGAGAGCAGCACGCAC